GACGAACGCUGGCGGCGUGCUUAACACAUGCAAGUCGAACGGAAAGGCCCUGCUUUUGUGGGGUGCUCGAGUGGCGAACGGGUGUGUAACACGUGAGUAACCUGCCCUUGACUUUGGGAUAACUCCAGGAAACUGGGGCUAAUACCGGAUAGGAGCUCCUGCUGCAUGGUGGGGGUUGGAAAGUUUCGGCGGUUGGGGAUGGACUCGCGGCUUAUCAGCUUGUUGGGGGGGUAGUGGCUUACCACGGCUUUGACGGGUAGACGGCCUGAGAGGGUGACCGGCCAGAUUGGGGCUGUUGGACGGGCCUGUGUCCUUCGGUAUGCAGCAGUUUGGGAUAUAGCAUGGUGGUCGGUAUGCUGAUGGAGCUAAGGCUGCUUCUGAAUUUCGUGCUUCGUUUGUAUAUCCUAUUUCGCCGUUGAUGGAGCGAGUGUCACGAUGAUGGAUAAAGAUGCACCAGCUAACUAUGUA
rnacentral:rRNA from 1 species